GAUGAACGCUGGCGGCGUGCCUAAUACAUGCAAGUCGAGCGAACGGAAGAGACUCUUGCUUCUCUGAUGUUAGCGGCAGCCGGGGGAGUAACACGUGGAAACCCUCCCUAUAAGACUGGGAUAACUUCGGGAAACCUGAGCUAAUACCGGAUGAUCUUUUGAACCGCAUGGUUGAAAAGUGAAAGACGGUCUUGCUGUCACUUAUAGAUGGAUCCGCGCUGCAUUAGCUAGUUGGUAAGUUAACGGCUUACCCAGGGAACGAUGCGUAGCCGACCGGAGAGGGUGAUCGGUCACACUGGAACUGAGACACGGUCCAGAGUCCUACGGGAGGCAGCAGUAGGGAAUCUUCCGCAAUGGGCGAAAGCCUGACGGAUCAACGCGGCGUGAGUGAUGAAGGUCUUCGGAUCGUAAAACUCUGUUAUUAGGGAAGAACAUAUGUGUAAGUGACUGUGCACAGCUUGACGGUACCUAAUCAGAAAGCCACGGCUAACUACGUG
rnacentral:rRNA from 1 species